UUCAAAUUUGGGGAGUCCAUAAAAUGGAAAAAUGUUAGUAUGUGAAACGUCAAUAUUACUAUUUGUGGAUGGAUUAAAAAUUCAGGAAAAUAAGGAAAUGUCAUUUUUGAAUUUUUUUUUUAUUUUUUUAUUUAUUUUUUUGUUUUUUGGAGACAGGGUUUUUCUGUGUAGCUAGCCCUGGCUAUCCUGGAACUCACUCUGUAGUCCAGGCUAGCCUUGAACUCAGAGAUCCAUCUGCCUCUGCCUCCCAAAUGCUGGGAUUAAAGGCAUGUGCCACCACUGCCCAGCUAUUUUUGAAUUUACUUGCAUUUCUGCUAACAUUUCUGUGAGAUAAAGCUGUUGGUUACUCAUGAAUCAUAUUUUUUCUUAUUCAUUGUUGAAGGUCAUUGUCAUGGAACAUACUAUAACAACAAAAGACAUCUUAGUUAUAUAUAGCAAAGGAGCCUUUGGACUCCAAACCAUUGGUUAUUUAAAUACUUUAUUCUUCAGUAAUAAAACACUGAUAGUGUCAUAAUUUUAGGUGUACUGCAUAGUCUUUAUUCUAAGACCACAUUUAAACUUCACACUGUAGGAAGGAAUAUCCAUACAUGCACUGCUCAUGAUUUGUUUAGUUACCUGAAGUCUGUUAUCACAUGACUGACUGGCUCAGGUGGAAUGCUUCAGGCCUUUGGUAUUUUUUAAUCCUUCUGCAACAGAGGCAAGAUAAUACUGGAAAAGCACCAACAUCAUAAAUAUCAGAAAAAAAUAUUUGAUAUCUGAUCAGAGGGGCAGCACUAAACUUGUAAAGACUGACUGCUGACUCAAUUUCUCCACCCUGGACAACCAGAUAGGUUGGAUAGAUGGAGGACCAGUCUCUAGAAAGCUACAGGACUUGCUGCUUUUUCACAUCAUUGUGACAUCACAAACACAGGUUCAAGAGUCAAUUUCUAGAAAAACAAAAAAAUAAAAAACAAAAAAAACCAAAAAAACCCAAACCAACAAAAAGAUGCUAUUUUAAAUUUUCUGCAUGCGAGAGACAGAGCUGCUUAAAUCAUGUGCCACUGUGAACACUGUGUAGAUUUAUGAUUAUAGGAGAUGCGUAUGAUUUACCUUUGGUCUACUGUGUGGAGAAAUGCAGCCAGAUUUGUUAACAUUUCUUCUUUGCCUCUGUGCUACAUCUCUCUCCUGAGUAUGGACAGAACUCUUUAAGUGGUAAUGCUUCAUUUUGAUCAACUUUUGGAUAAGGGAGGUCUGUGGAAUUUUUAAAAUCAUCAUCAUAACUAGGACUGCAAGACUUAAGGAGGCUGGUGAAGAUGAAUGUUUUAAUAGUUGUUGCUUUGGGAAAAAUAGCGAGGUCUGGUUUUCUUUGGGGAUGAGUUUUUAAACCUUGCUUUGGGAGGAGGUGGAGAAAGGAGAGCGUUGAAGGUAAGAACUUUUAUUUCUGAAACUUCCUCUAAGACUUAGGUCAUUAUAUUAAUUUGAAGUUUGAAAUUAUUUUGAGGCAGGGUCUCAUUAUGUAUUUGGGAUGGAUAUAGAUGUAACUCCUGAUAUAGAACAUGUUGGCUUUUUACUAAUAGAGAUCCACCUGCCUUUGUUUACCAGUCUUGGGAUUAAAGGCCUCAUUUUGAAUUUUGAGACAGAUACUUCUCACUUAUUUCAUGAUAGACUCAAACUUGAUAUAUAGCCAAGGAUAAUCUUCAAUUUCUGGUCCUUUUCCCUCAAUUUCCCAAGUUUUGGGAUUACAGACUUUUGCUACCUUGCAAAUAUUCUGAGAGUUGAAUUUUGGGGGUUUAAAAUAAUUUUUAUACUUGUAAUUCUGAAAUGACUACACAACAUUCUGUGUCUCUCAGUCUAUGUCACAUGGAUUGUCAUCUUUUAGUAUCAGAGUGUAUGCACUACGUGUGUGCAUGUGCUGAUGAACAGUCUAGGUAUCGCCAUUAUUUUUCAUAAAUUUCAAUGUGGGAGAAAAUACUUAAAGUUGGAAGUACCAUGUUAGUUUUUUUUUUUUCCAAAUGAGAAUUUCAGCUUGCAGAGUGAACGUCUGAACUUUUUAAAAAAAGAUUUAUUUAUUUACUUUAUGCAUAUGAAUACACUGUAGCUGUCUUCAGAUAUACCAGGGAUGGCAUCGGACCACACUACCAAUGGUUGUAAGCCACUAUGUGGUUGUGGGGAAUUGCACUUGAUCUCUGCAACAGUAGUCAGUGAUCUUAACCCCUGAGCCAUCUCUCUAGCAGGAGAGCCUGAACUUUUACAGGUAUAUUUUUACAUUACAUGUUGGAAAUAAAGUAAUAAAGUAUUAUCAAUUAAAAAAAUAACUGAAUUGUGUAGUAUAAGAGAUACUCCAAAGUGCUUUUGUUAUGAGUUGUAUUGGGUUUUAAGAAGGUACAUAUAUAUUACAAGAUUCACCUGUGAUCUUAAUUGAAUUAUUUGAUGAUUCAUUCUAAAAGCAUUUGAGAGCACCAACUAUUACUUUUAUUGGUUGUGAAAAUUUGCAUUAGAUUUAGAAGCAAUUGAACUCUGGCAUCAUCCUUGAUAGGGUCGGCUUCUGAUUCCACCACUGAGUCCAUACUUAGUGUAUGGAAAAUAAAAGGAGGGAGGUAUCAGGGUUUUUUUAAAUUACAUUAGGGGGAAAUCCACCUUCUCUUUGCCAGAAAAAUGAAAUUGUGUUCAAACUUUGGCCUUAGUUAGACACAUGGCAUUCUAAUUUUACCUAAAAUUUAGAACACUUUUUAUUCAUCACUUUGCUAGACGACUCCUCCAGCCUCCACUCUCCACCUCCCAAGCC
rnacentral:lncRNA from 1 species